UAAUAAAAAAAAUCUUAUCUUUAUAAAAAAAAUUAAUAUACAAGCAAGCACUAUUUACAAAAUAAUUCAUCAAUAUUGAUCAUGAAAUCAUGAAAUCAAAUUAAGACUAUAAUUAAACCUCAUAAUUAUUGGACCAUUUAUUUAUUUAAUUAGUUGGCUUCUCUACAAAGACCUUCCUUUUAUGUUUGAUCCCAAAAGGAGUGACCUCUUUGUCACACACAUCAAAACCAUGCCACACAUGCCUAGGCAGGUACCGACGGAAAUAGAAAUAAUCUGAGCUAAGAUGAGACCUCUCCAAAACCCUAACUUGAGCAAAACCUGGUCGCCAAUCAUCUGUUCCAGCUAAUUUUAGAUACAGGUAGCAAACUGGUGACUCCACACAUUGCCCUGUGACUUGAAAUUGGUCUACCAUGCACGCUUGGAAUGGUUUCCUUGGCAUAUCAUCAAGCACCUCAGGUUGUAAUGGAUCCAACUUUCUUAUGUGCUUGUUGUUCAGGUGGUGCACUACAAUGUCAUUAGAUUUUGAAUCACCAAAUCUCAGUCUAACAUGAUUUGAGGUUUCUGCUCCAUUUGUACAUGUUGUUUCUAUUGUAAUUGCAUAGCUGCAAUUUCCCUGAAUUGCAAAUACAAUAAAUUAUAGUAUUGGAAUAAUCUUUGGAGCUGUGAGAUCUCAAGUUCAAGCUCUGAUCGAAGCCAAUUGUGUAAAAAAAUUCAGAAAAAGAAAGAAAGAAGAAUUCAUUACCUUCUUUUGAGGCGGUAGACUUUCACAUCCUGCCAGUAAAGCAAGCAAAAACAAGCAAAAGGUAAAGAACAAACCUCUGCAACUCUCCAUUUCCAGAUGGACCUCUUGAGCUUAAAACACAAAGAUGCAAGCCCAAGUAUUUGUCGGUG
rnacentral:misc_RNA from 1 species